AAUUAUAUUUUUUAAAAGAAGGGAAAUAAAUGAUAUUUUGCAGUAGUUUUAUUUACAGUACUUUUAAUAAAAUGCUAUCAUUUCAGAUCAUAAUUUUUAUCUCUAUAGAUAUAUUUUUCAAGAACAUGGAAAGAAGUGGAUAGCUGUCACUGAUUAAGGCAAUACAACACAGGAACAACAAAACGCCUGUAAAUUUACCCACAUGGAAAAGGAAUUCUCUGCAGGAACAUACAAAGAUUUCCCAGAUGACACACAGAUCCAUUUCCUUCUCUUGCAUCAUGCAGCCUCUAAAGUAUAUGCUUUCACCUAGAACAAGCGACUCCCUUUUUUCACUGCUUGAGAACAGA